CAUAAAUUUCAUGAUAUUCUGCCUAUCCCUUGCCUUAUUGUGGCCGGUGUACUGAAGCGACUACGCCGGCCGGCCGGCCGGCAUCUGCGGAUGUCAGCUUGCUUUGCGAUAACGUUUACAGCGCAAUACGCUAGUAGUUCAAUAAAACACGCAAAAAAAAAACACAUACUUACACACAUGGAACGACGGGCCCACCAUCAUAUCGUUUCUGAUUAAUUCAAUUCAUCAACAAUCUCAAACCGGCAACGUUCCAAUCGUGGCUAGACAGACAUGAACCGUUCGUCACUUGCGCCGGCAUUCAGUGACCCGCACGAAACGUAACACAGAACAAAACAACAACAACAACUGCCUUUAACUACAACAAAACAACAAACUGAUGAACAAACACACGCCUCACCAACAUGUUGACGCAAGCAAAAUCCACGAUGCGGACGACGGGAUCGUAUAGAUGAAUGAUGAACAACAACAUGGUAGCAUGGGCAAAGUGGCUAUAAGGUCGCGUGUUCCUGAAUGACAUGUUCUAAUUUCUGCCGGUACGCAGUACUUGCAAAGCAGCGGAAUGAGUGCCACAAACCGACUGGUGGCAAAUAUAAUGUCGAUUGAUUUUUGUGUGCGCGUUAUGAAAAAACUUGUGACGCAAAAGCGUCGUACGCAUCGCUGUGUGCUUCAGAAUCGUGAAGAGUCUCUCUAGUCGCUCAACAAUCACACGUGAGAAUUGGGGAGGGCAGUGUAGUGCGGAGAGCAAAUACCAUUACGCAUAGCCAUGGAAAAUUGGAUAUCGAAAUCCGAGCAUCACGUGCAAUGAUUCAACAAAUUCAAAUUCCGCUCCUUAUGGGUGGAGUAGGCUGCAACGGGAAGCCAGUCAGCGGACUUGAAGGGCACACGAAUGCACUGAAUGACUGUGUGUGGUAAGUGUGUGUGUGUUACUUAAUGUUUUCCUGGAGGUUCAUUGUAGUGUCACGCGCCUCAGUCGAUGUACCGUCUGAAGGCGCUCUUACGGAACAUGGGAUAGAAUGGCACGAGAUGCCAGCAAGCGUGUACACGACCGAUCGAUUGUUGAUUGUUGCAAACAUUCAAGGACUUUGGAGCAAAAAAUAAAACACAAAUUACAAAAUUGGAUUGGAAAAACAAGGGGAAACAAUUCUCCAUCUCUUUUCCGAACUAUUAUGACUGUACUAAAAAAAUCUCUUUUUGUACUAAAACUCUGACAAAAUUGUAAACGCGUUCAGUUACUCGAGAGAACACGAAA